CUACGGGCUGCAGCAGUGGGGAAUAUUGGACAAUGGGGGAAACCCUGAUCCAGCAAUGCCGCGUGUGUGAAGAAGGCCUGCGGGUUGUAAAGCACUUUCGGUUGGGAGGACUGCUUCUAGCACUAAUAUUGUUGGAAGUUGACGUUACCUCCAGAAGAAGCACCGGCUAACUCCGUGCCAGCAGCCGCGGUAAUACGGAGGGUGCAAGCGUUGAUCGGAAUUACUGGGCGUAAAGCGCGCGUAGGCGGCUAGAUCAGUCGGGUGUGAAAGCCCCGGGCUUAACCUGGGAACUGCAUCCGAUACUGUCUAGCUUGAGUACAGGAGAGGAGAGUGGAAUUCCACAUGUAGCGGUGAAAUGCGUAGAUAUGUGGAGGAACACCAAUGGCGAAGGCAGCUCUCUGGCCUGAUACUGACGCUGAGGUGCGAAAGCGUGGGGAGCAAACAGGAUUAGAUACCCUUGUAGUC
rnacentral:rRNA from 1 species